UUCCAGACUCCUACGGGAGGCAGCAGUGAGGAAUAUUGGUCAAUGGCCGGAAGGCUGAACCAGCCAAGCCGCGUGAAGGACGAAGGUGCCAAGCAUUGUAAACUUCUUUUGUCAAGGGACAAAAUCAGGCUCGAGAGCCUGACCGAGGGUACUUGAAGAAAAAGCAUCGGCUAACUCCGUGCCAGCAGCCGCGGUAAUACGGAGGAUGCGAGCGUUAUCCGGAUUUAUUGGGUUUAAAGGGUGCGUAGGCGGACAGUCAAGUCAGCGGUAAAAAUGCGGUGCUCAACGCCGUACAGCCGUUGAAACUGGCAGUCUUGAGUGGGCGAGAAGUAUGCGGAAUGCGUGGUGUAGCGGUGAAAUGCAUAGAUAUCACGCAGAACUCCGAUUGCGAAGGCAGCAUACCGGCGCCCGACUGACGCUGAGGCACGAAAGCGUGGGUAUCGAACAGGAUUAGAUACCCGUGUA
rnacentral:rRNA from 1 species